AUUGGGGAGGACGUGCUGGGUCAUUCAUCAGGAACCCCUCCAUGCUUGGCUCUGUGCUUGGGGGCCUUCACUUGUAUUGAAGCAGGGAAAGGGGAGAGUUAUGCACCCCCCCACCCUCGACCUGGAGUUUAACCAUAACUCACAGCGUGGUGCAAUGUGGGAAAAUAAACAGGGCAGUGGCCUUCCUAGACCUCUCAAACUCGAGUGACUUGCCUAAAUCUCCUCGACUCUAGCAUCAUAUCCUGUAGCAGAGCUUCCUGUUGAGUGCUCCCCCAUGUCCAACACCAAGGCCACUGAACACCUCUUCACCAACGUGCUGUGCUCCAUGCCACCUAUGCUGUUUGCAGACCCGCCGGCGGAGUGGAAGGCAGCGGCCUCCACACCCUCCGUGGAUCCUGGCAGGAACGGCAAACACAGGCCCACUGAGACAAGCCAAGAAGCCAAAAUCCCCUUGUGGACAAGAACGAGUUCUCUGUAGAAUUCCCUGUGCCAUUACACUGAGAGGUCACCCUGUGUGUCUGCUGAUGGUCCCGUGGGACUCAGAGAAGAGAGAGAUUACAAGCAGGCUGAGAGAGAGGAGGAAGCAGGCUCCCCGCUGAGCAGAGAGCCCGAGACGGGGCUUGAUCCCAGGACCCUGGAAUCAUGACCUGAGCCGAAGGCAGAGACUUAGCCCACCGAGCCACCCAGAAGUCUAGUGCGAAGAGAGCUGUGAUGUACCACAUAUGGCUAACACUCCAGAAGGAUUUCAAAUCAAAUGGGCUUCCCUCCGGACUUCCUGAAAGUGAGACCAGCUGCCGAUACAUGUAGCCAAUUUGCCAACCAUCUCCUUUUUAAAGAACAAGAUGAUGAUGUGAUCUCAAGGAAAGUCUUACAGAAGAGGCCACAGUUCUGGUUUUUAAAGGCUGUAAUGGGUGCCGUGAUUAGAGGAGAGCCGGGUGUCUCAUAACUAACAGUAACACACUCUUGGCCCUAAUUUGAAUUGGGUGCUUAUGUUUAAAGUCGAAAAUAGCAAUAGAAAAAUGUGGAACUCAAACCGUUGUCUCCAGAUAAACAUCUUGUAGUAACAAUGACUUGAGAAUGUUCGGAGUGCGGCGAGCUUGGACGUGGUCACGAAGCAUCUGCGUGGCAUUCUCUUUGAUGAGAAACGAAGAGGAGAGAAAAAGCCACCAAGCGCCCUAAGGGAACACGUCUUGGUUCUUCCCUUGCAUCUUUGCAGGGGCUGAGAUGUUCUCCAAGAAGAGAGGCUUUGGGCCGGAUAGGUCGUGGAGAGUUCAUUUCAAGUCCCAUUCUCAGCCUUAGAGACAGAGAGAGACAGACAGACAGACAGACAGACAGGCAUACAGACAGCGAGAGCCCUGGACAUCGACCCAGAUGCAGAGGCGCAGUGUGUGAAGCGACGCUUGCUGAGUACUGUGGCUGCCCCACAGGAUACCCACGGAGAGCAGGCUGCCCCAGCUGACCGUCUGUAAGCGGCAAAGUGCACUGAUCGGAGGAAUCGUCUCAGCUAAGGACAGACAGCACGAUUCAAGUCCACUCCGUGCCACACACUGAUGCGCUCUCCCAAAAUGCAUGACCUUGUCGAGGCCUUUCACCUCCGGAGCUUCGUACA